GACAGAGGAUGCAAGCGUUAUCCGGAAUGAUUGGGCGUAAAGCGUCCGCAGGUGGUAAUGUAAGUCUGCUGUUAAAGAGUGAGGCUCAACCUCAUAAGAGCAGUGGAAACUACAUAGCUAGAGUACGUUCGGGGCAGAGGGAAUUCCUGGUGUAGCGGUGAAAUGCGUAGAGAUCAGGAAGAACACCGGUGGCGAAGGCGCUCUGCUAGGCCGUAACUGACACUGAGGGACGAAAGCUAGGGGAGCGAAUGGG
rnacentral:rRNA from 1 species